rnacentral:lncRNA from 1 species
CAGAUACCGAGCUCCCAAGUCUAAGAGGCUAUCAAAGACUUCCAGAGGUUUGUGUCUGGCUAACCUACUGUAGGGAAGAUUUGGUGGCAGAGGAGCGCGCCAUAAAGUUCCAAGGCAACGAUCACGCAUCUGUAAACACAGACAAGCCUACAGCUGCCCGCACACAACCAAAGUACCCUCCUGCCCAACACAAGAGAGAACCACCCCUUGUCACCAGUCAAGCCUCUCCUUAAAGAGGGCUUUAGUUCCCAAUUAUCGUCUCCAUAGAAAUCUGAGAGGCACGCGCAAGUUCAUCAGCAUAUCCCUCCUCUAUUCGGUGCUGAGCAGAGCUCUGUGCAUAACCAACCUGUGUGGAAAAUGACAGUGUUUUUCCUGAGUCCCGAAGGAAGCCGGAGGUUUCGGAGCAGUCCUUUGGCGGUUAGGCGGACGUGGAUGGUGGAUAAGGAGAAUUUGGGAGACAACAGCAUGUCUUCGAAGCCAGUGGGAGAACUUCGCAGGGGGAGCAGCUUUUCCAGGGACCAUCACAUACUGUGUCUCUUGGCAACUCGGGGGUUCUUCCAGGCCAAGAGACACAGCCAGAGAAAAACAAGCUUAUAUGCUAAUGCCAGGCCACCCAGAUGGGGGGUGUGGCGGGGGAGGGGAAGCGAGAGUUAGCUAUCCCAGGGCUCCAGGCUUCCGUUUGCUCUCCCAGAUGUUGCUAACAAACAAUGCCCUUCGUCUGAGCAAGAUCUGUGAGGAGCAGGUCCGGAAGCAAGCAGCCUGAGUUACAUCACACUGUGCAUGCCACGGGUUGUUGUGGUUCCCAGCAGGGAUGGAAAGGGGGAGGAGAAAGUGGGUGGUCUCGGGAGCUUUAUGUAACAGCCAAUGAUGUCGCAGGUCCUGUCACUAGUUGGAACAGGGCGAAAAGAAAUUAUCCACCUCGCAUGCU